rfam:Arabis alpina cultivar Pajares chromosome 8, whole genome shotgun sequence.
AUCUUUGCGCUUGGGGCAAUGACGCAGCUAAUGAGGUACUAACCGAGGCGCGUCUAUUGCUGGUUGAAAACUAUUUCCAAACCCCCUCUUGGGCCUUUGCUUGUCUUGGGCCUUCGAGAAUUUCUGGAAGGGCUCCCUUCGGGGUAAAGCC